rnacentral:tRNA from 1 species
GCCUCUUUAGCGCAGUAGGCAGCGCGUCAGUCUCAUAAUCUGAAGGUCCUGAGUUCGAACCUCAGAAGGGGCA